rnacentral:tRNA from 1 species
AGCCCGGUCGUCUAGCGGCCAAGCGCUCGGUCAGAUGCUGGGCUAGGGACCCCGCGGACGCCGGUUCGAAUCCGGCCCGGGCUA